rnacentral:tRNA from 1 species
UCUUGUAUACUGUAGUGGUUUGAGUGUUGGACUGGGACUCUAGAAGACCAGGGUUCGAAUCCCUGAUCAGUUG